CAGUCGCCGCGGUAAUACAGAGGGUGCGAGCGUUAAUCGGAUUUACUGGGCGUAAAGCGUGCGUAGGCGGCUUCUUAAGUCGGAUGUGAAAUCCCUGAGCUUAACUUAGGAAUUGCAUUCGAUACUGGAAAGCUAGAGUAUGGGAGAGGAUGGUAGAAUUCCAGGUGUAGCGGUGAAAUGCGUAGAGAUCUGGAGGAAUACCGAUGGCGAAGGCAGCCAUCUGGCCUAAUACUGACGCUGAGGUACGAAAGCAUGGGGAGCAAACAGGAUUAGAUACCCCCGUAGUCCCUGUCUCUUAUAC
rnacentral:rRNA from 1 species